rnacentral:lncRNA from 1 species
UAUGAAUUUUGUGAAUGAACACUUUUAUAGUUUUUCAACAAAUUGUGUGAAAACAUAUUUCGAAAAAAAAUCGAAAACCUACAUUGCUGAUGUGAUGUUUUACUAGAGUGUUUGUUUUCUCUCUAUCUAAAUAUGGAAAAAAGUGAAUCCAUUUGGCGGAUUUGUUUUUGGGAAAAAUAGUUUAUAAAAUCAGCACGAAUCAGUGUGAAAUGUCCAGCAACAGUAGCGCCGAUGCGGGAGUGGAAUCAUCGACGGAAUCGACAAAAUCUGCUGUCGAACUGGCCGAGCCCUUUCAGCAAAAUGGCUGGGAUCGGAGACGCUGGGACUAGAUAAAAUGACCGAAACCAGACCGGUGCUUCACCAGAAACAAGACAAACAAUGUUUUCCCGGGACGGUGCACUACGCUGUUCCGUCACGAUUCCCGUUAAGCGGAAGCUAAAAUGUUGGCAAAUUGGAACCCAUCGGAAAAUAUUCUUCAACGCCUGAAAAUUUACGUGUGAGAAAAAUUUACAAGUGGUGAAUCAACAACUGAACCUUUUCCUAAUGUGAAAUAAUAAAAUAAGUUUAUUAAAAGUACA